rnacentral:rRNA from 1 species
AUCCUACGGGAGGCAGCAGUGGGGAAUAUUGCACAAUGGGCGCAAGCCUGAUGCAGCCAUGCCGCGUGUAUGAAGAAGGCCUUCGGGUUGUAAAGUACUUUCAGCAGUGAGGAAGGUGGGUAUGUUAAUAGCAUACUCAUUUGACGUUAGCUGCAGAAGAAGCACCGGCUAACUCCGUGCCAGCAGCCGCGGUAAUACGGAGGGUGCGAGCGUUAAUCGGAAUUACUGGGCGUAAAAGCGCAUGCAGGUGGUUUGUUAAGUCAGAUGUGAAAGCCCGGGGCUCAACCUCGGAAUUGCAUUUGAAACUGGCAAACUAGAGUACUGUAGAGGGGGUAGAAUUUCAGGUGUAGCGGUGAAAUGCGUAGAGAUCUGAAGGAAUACCGGUGGCGAAGGCGGCCCCCUGGACAGAUACUGACACUCAGAUGCGAAAGCGUGGGGAGCAAACAGGAUUAGAUACCCUGGUAG